UACGUAGGGUGCAAGCGUUAAUCGGAAUUACUGGGCGUAAAGCGUGCGCAGGCGGUGAUGUAAGACAGAUGUGAAAUCCCCGGGCUCAACCUGGGAACUGCAUCCGAGACUGCAUUGCUAGAGUAUGGGAGAGGGAAGCGGAAUUUCUGGUGUAGCAGUGAAAUGCGUAGAUAUCAGAAGGAACAUCAGUGGCGAAGGCGGCUUCCUGGACCAAUACUGACGAUCAGGUGCGAAAGCGUGGGGAGCAAACAGG
rnacentral:rRNA from 1 species